GCGUUGUACGGCAUUAUUGGGCGUAAAGAGCUCGUAGGCGGUCUGUUGCGUCCGCUGGGAAAACUCGGGGCUUAACCCCGAGCCUGCAGUGGAUACGGGCAGACUAGAGGUAGGUAGGGGAGAAUGGAAUUCCCGGUGUAGCGGUGAAAUGCGCAGAUAUCGGGAGGAACACCGGUGGCGAAGGCGGUUCUCUGGGCCUUACCUGACGCUGAGGAGCGAAAGCGUGGGGAGCGAACAGG
rnacentral:rRNA from 1 species